rnacentral:sRNA from 1 species
AUUUUCCGCGGCCAGGGAGGGUGAGAACCCUCGACAGGGUUCGACAAAACGGCAGGAAUGACGUUUUGCACAGCCGCAGGCUGCCCGCAGGGCGAGGCACAGGGAAGUGCCUCGUGAUAUCCCUCCCUCACCACCA